rnacentral:rRNA from 1 species
UACGUAGGGGCCAAGCGUUGUCCGGAUUUAUUGGGCGUAAAGAGCUCGUAGGCGGUUGGGUAAGUCGGGUGUGAAAACUCCAGGCUCAACUUGGAGAUGCCACCCGAUACUGCUCUGACUUGAGUUCGGUAGGGGAGUGGGGAAUUCCUGGUGUAGCGGCGAAAUGCGCAGAUAUCAGGAGGAACACCGGUGGCGAAGGCGCCACUCUGGGCCGAAACUGACGCUGAGGAGCGAAAGCGUGGGUAGCAAACAGG